rnacentral:SRP_RNA from 1 species
GCCGGGCGCGGUGGCGCGCGCCUGUAGUCCCAGCUACUCGGGAGGCUGAGGUGGGAGGAUCGCUUGAGUCCAGGAGUUCUGGGCUGUAGUGCGCUAUGCUGAUCGGGUGUCCGCACUAAGUUCGGCAUCAAUAUGGUGACCUCCCGGGAGCGGGGGGCCACCAGGUUGCCUAAGGAGGGGUGAACCGGCCCAGGUCGGAAACGGAGCAGGUCAAAACUCCCGUGCUGAUCAAUAUAUUGACUGGACCCUGCUGGACACUGGGUGCCGGGGUACUGAAGUGAACGC